UAGAAAUCUCCUCUUCAUCUGUAGAUCGCAUGAUGGAAAUACAGAGUGCUGUAACUUGGUAUGUCCUGUUUUUACUGUAUGCAUUAUAAACCUGCAUGAAAGCAUGAAACUGAGCCAUGCGUUUUGUUCCAGAACUCCAGCUAUUCUCAGAUCGACUGCUUCAUGUCAGAAAAUUAUGAGCCAGAUAUUAAUGAGCCGUCAUUACUUGUUGAUAAUAUGCUGUACUUUACCAAAUCUGGGAAGGGAUUGUACAAGAUAAACAAGGACGACAAAAACGACAACAUUUGGCCUCAGUCAAAUGAAGCGGAGCAAACGUACUUGAAGCUGAUCGCUGGUAAAGGCCAACACCGGG
rnacentral:lncRNA from 1 species